rnacentral:misc_RNA from 1 species
UUUCCGUAGGUGAACCGGCGGAAGGAUCAUUACUGAGUGAUGGUCCUCUGGGUCCAACCUCACUCCCGAGUUUAUUAUAACUUGUUGCUUCGGUGAGCCCGCCCCACGGCCGCCGGGGGGCAUCUGCCCCUGGGCCCGCGCCCACCGAAGACACCUAGAACUCUGUAUGAGGAUUGCAGUCUGAGCAAAAACUAAAUAAGUUAAAACUUUCAACAACGGAUCUCUUGGUUCCG